rnacentral:rRNA from 1 species
GACGAACGCUGGCGGCGUGCUUAACACAUGCAAGUCGAACGGAAAGGCCCUUCGGGGUACUCGAGUGGCGAACGGGUGAGUAACACGUGGGUGAUCUGCCCUGCACUUUGGGAUAAGCCUGGGAAACUGGGUCUAAUACCGAAUAGGACCACGCGCUUCAUGGUGUGUGGUGGAAAGCUUUUGCGGUGUGGGAUGGGCCCGCGGCCUAUCAGCUUGUUGGUGGGGUAAUGGCCUACCAAGGCGACGACGGGUAGCCGGCCUGAGAGGGUGACCGGCCACACUGGGACUGAGAUACGGCCCAGACUCCUACGGGAGGCAGCAGUGGGGAAUAUUGCACAAUGGGCGCGAGCCUGAUGCAGCGACGCCGCGUGAGGGAGGACGGCCUUCGGGUUGUAAACCUCUUUCAAUAGGGACGAAGCGCAAGGGACGGUACCUAUAGAAGAAACACCGGCCAACUACGU